rnacentral:lncRNA from 10 species
GCACUUUCUAUUGUUUGUAAGUCUAUCAAAAAAAAAAUAGAAAGUUUUUCUUUCCUGUUGCCUAAAUGAUUUGAUUGUUUAGUUCUUGGAGUAGAAACACCAGCUGCCCUUAGCCUGGGUGCAAGCCAGCAGAGAAGGGGAAAGGAAUGCAAGAGCCAGUGUCCACAUCCUGCUCACAUUUGGGACAUCUGUGAGGCAGGGUGCCUCCUUUUUGUCCCUCCAAGAGGACAGUUGGGGGACUUGGCCUCUGGCCGCCUCAAGUUGGGUCAGCACCUGCUGGGCCUCAUCCUGGUUCAUCGUGCAUCAAUGGGAGCGCACCUGGGUUCUGCUGACAUGUGAGAGCUUCUUCACCGAGGGGUUCAGAAAAGUGUGCUCAUGGCCUGUAGAUCUGGAUUCAAAGGGAGAUGAGAAAAAUAGGAACUGAGCCCGUGGCUUGCCUCACCCACUUCCUGAGCCUGCGCAAGGGACAAGACUUUCCUGUGUGGCCUUCUUACGGCAGUCCACAGGGAAGUGGCCUCAUUUUCUGUGUCUGUCCUGCCCAGCGCCCCCACUCUCCUGUGCUGGUCCCAGGCCAUCCCUUAGCCAGAGUGCAGAACUCCAGACCCCCAAUAUUCUCUCAUAUCCUCAGAAUCUUCAGCUUCCAUCCAUGGAUGUUGGCUGAAUCCUGAGUGGGGUCGUAGAAAGAUCUGGUCCUGUGAGUAGGGGGGCGAGGAGGAAGGCAGGGACUUCAGCUGGGCUGUCUACAACCUGAGUCUAAAACACCUAAAGACAAGCACAACUUGCCCCCGCUAGGACGAAUUUCUUGCUCCAGACCGCCUCACUGCAUCUCUAGGGCCAUGUGUAUUCCUGCUAUUUGGCCACAUUCCUUGAGAAAAAUUGCCUAUUAAAAGAAUUUCCUUAUUCACCAGUUAU